rnacentral:lncRNA from 1 species
AAAAACAAAGGAGAAAGGAGAAAGUCUUCGUGAAAGAUUAUGCAACUAGUUAGAGGAAGGUCUUCUGUUAUUAUUUAAUAGCAUAGCUGGUUUUGAUCAAAUACACAUACCUAACUUCUGAUGAAAACCCAACUCAAAGGUAACAAAAAUCACUUCAGGCUAAUUUUUUGACUUGCUUUCAGACCCUAGACAGAGGUUAGUUAGCAUUACAGUAUUUAAGCUCUUUAUGAAUUUCUGCUGAAUUAACAUAUGUUUGGAAAUCAGCUGCUGAUGUGAACCCAGCAGAAAUGAUAGAAUAAUCCAGUGCAGUUUUAGAAGGGAAUAUACUAACAGGUUUCAGUAAUUUAGCACGAACUAGUUUUUUUAGAGUAAAUAACCAUGGAUCACAAUCAAUGUGCUUAAUUUGUAGUACAGUAAACCAUACUUCUAGAUUUUUUCAAGUGUGGGGACUAGGUAUAAUUAAUCUAUCCAACUUUUCAUUAUGAAAAUUUAUAAACAGAAAAAAAUUAGAAUUUGUGUAACUUAAAUUUUUGUUGGUAGAAUUCCUCAUGUUUAUAUAUUAGUUGGAUAUUGAUUUUCCUUGCUCCCCAUUGGGACAAUCCUGCACCACCCCACCACCCUUCACCAGCCAAAAACAAUCUCUCCCAGUUGUUUAAUUUUAAUGCAGCUGAUGUGGUAGAAGAGUCCUGGUCUCAAAGGACUCCCUCUUCCUCCAUUUCUUCCUGAUGAGUUUGCAAAUCUGACUAAUUCUGAUUGAAUCAAGAAUGAAUGCAUCACUCUCAGUGUGUAAACAGGCAGCAGUCAAUGGAGUAGAAUCAAAGGGAAGAAAGAUUUUCCUCAGGAUUUUUGAAAUAUUAAAAAACAUUAGAGUUCCAUAUCCUUAAUUUCCAGU